rnacentral:rRNA from 1 species
CGGUAAUACGGAGGGUGCAAGCGUUAAUCGGAAUUACUGGGCGUAAAGCGCGCGUAGGCGGUUUGUUAAGCCAGAUGUGAAAGCCCCGGGCUCAACCUGGGAAUUGCAUUUGGAACUGGCAAACUAGAGUGUGUGAGAGGUGAGUGGAAUUUCUAGUGUAGCGGUGAAAUGCGUAGAUAUUAGAAGGAACAUCAGUGGCGAAGGCGACUCACUGGCAUAACACUGACGCUGAGGUGCGAAAGCGUGGGKAGCAAACAGGAUUAGAUACCCUGGUAGUCCACGCCGUAAACGAUGUCUACUAGCCGUUGGAGAUCUUGUAUCUUUGGUGGCGCAGCUAACGCAAUAAGUAGACCGCCUGGGGAGUACGG